rnacentral:misc_RNA from 1 species
GAUGAAGAACGUAGCGAAAUGCGAUAAGUAAUGUGAAUUGCAGAAUUCAGUGAAUCAUCGAAUCUUUGAACGCACAUUGCGCCCGCCAGUAUUCUGGCGGGCAUGCCUGUUCGAGCGUCAUUUCAACCAUCAAGCCCCCGGCUUGUGUUGGAGACCUGCGGCUGCCGCAGGCCCUGAAAAGCAGUGGCGGGCUCGCUGUCACACCGAGCGUAGUAGCAUACAUCUCGCUCUGGGCGUGCUGCGGGUUCCGGCCGUUAAACCACCUUCAUAACCCAAGGUUGACCUCGGAUCAGGUAGGAAGACCCGCUGAACUUAAGCAUAUCAAUAAGCGGAGGA